GAGAUGAAGCCACACACACACACAUACAACCUAAUAAUCGUCUGCUAUGGGGCCGCGAGCAGAGGGCACAGCGAGCUCCGGCACCCCCCCGCUCGGACCUUCUUACGCAACCAGACUCUUCCUGAGGCUCGGGCCUGCUGCUCGCCGGUCACGUCCACAUGCAGCUGGCGUGCUCAGGAGGACCUGACACUGCACGGGGUGCCACAAAAAGACACGACCAGCAGAGCGCGGCGAACGAAUGUGGGAAACUAACUGGAAACAGCUAGACUGCUUUCCCAGGAUCAACGCCGCGUCCACGGGGGAAGAGCGUGACAUCAAUGUGAGGUCCGCUAAUCCGUCCCGGUGAGCUCCCUCGCCCGCUCGGAGCUGCUGACCCGCGUGGAAUAUGCGGCCUGAAAGCGGAUGUGAUCUAAUCACAUUACCGCUCGGCCCUCGGGCCUCUAAACGAAUCACAGAUCCGCCACCGACGGGACAGCGUGUGCGCCGCCGUGAUCGAAUCAGAGCCUCUCGAAUCCAAGUCGGGAGAACAACAGGUUGGGCCCACGCCCUCCCCGGGCCGCAGAGACGAUCCUUGCAGAAACACGGGGAGCUCUCGUGCAAACGUUUGAGUCGGUCUCAUGAUUCCACGGAACAACUGCAUCUGACUCACAAGACCCAUGACUCAAAGCUCUGCUCUCCUGCAGCCCACCGGGACGCGGGGGCCUGGAUGUUGGGACACAAGAUGUGUGUGUGUGUGUGUGUGUGUGUGUGUGCUGAAUCGCACAAGGAUUAUCACAUGACUCAGGGUUCACAUGAGCACAGUCCUGUUGUCAAGGCGAGGAGAGAGGGAAGGAGACGGAGAUAAGGAGACAUUUCACUAAAGGCCUCACAUCAGCAUCAUGUUCAGGGUCACGAUUGUAUUUUGGGGUUUCUACUAGAACUCUUUACAUGCUUUAAUGUCCAAAAGUCCCUUUAUUUGUCUCAUACUGAAUAAACCUGCAUUCGCCCAGUGACUGAAACGCUCCGUUUUAGCGCCUGUCUCUUCAGGAGCUCAGUGAGCUCUGAGCGGCAGGUGUCAAAAAUACAGAGCACCUCUGCAAAGGUGGUGGGCCACGUCUUCUCAUGAGUCUGCCUGUGAUGUUACAGGGGUCUUCUAAACCGCACAGCCCAAAAUAUGCCAUGUCCCCUUUAACCGAUUAAAGCGUGGUGUUAUGCCCCACUGCCGUCUAACCACAGGAGUUGGUUUAUUUCAUGGUUCAUUUGUAAACUCAACUCCAGCGCUGUUUGUGAGCAUCAGAGCAGCGCGGAAAUGUGUUCAAAUGAGAUGAGAGACGCCGUCCACAAGCGCGUGAACGCGAUCCAUGAGGAGGUUUUAGUAAUAAGUCGGCUUGAAGCCCUCUGCGACCUCACAUACAUUUGCUAAUGUUCCCAGUUGCUUGACCUCAUAAAUGUCUCCGCUAAGUGCCGGCCC
ensembl:lncRNA